CCUACGGGAGGCAGCAGUGGGGAAUUUUGGACAAUGGGGGCAACCCUGAUCCAGCCAUCCCGCGUGUGCGAUGAAGGCCUUCGGGUUGUAAAGCACUUUUGGCAGGGAAGAAACGGCUCUGGCUAAUACCUGGAGCUACUGACGGUACCUGCAGAAUAAGCACCGGCUAACUACGUGCCAGCAGCCGCGGUAAU
rnacentral:rRNA from 1 species